UUUUUUUAAACCCAGUNAUAGAGUCAGCUAGAUGCUAAGAUUAGGCNCCGGGGGGUAUGCNGCACGACGCGCAACCCCUGUGCUUCUUAGUUAGCCAGCGAGUAAUGUCGGGCACUCAUAGAGAGACUGCCGGUGCACAAACUCGGAGGAAGGUGGGGAUGAUGUCAAGUCAUCAUGGCUCCCUUAUGUCUCAGGGCUACACGCGUGCUACAUUNGGCCGGUACCAAGGGCUGCCACCGCGUGAGAGUGAGCGAAUCCCCAAAAGCCGCCUCCCAGUUCGAUCUGUGAGAUCGCUCGAUCACUGCGCUGUCACAGUAGAGACAUGGCGAGAAUGCUGNCGUCAUGAUNAUUAAUACUGGCUGGCUGGGAGGUAACUACCGACCGUUCCAGACAAGAC
rnacentral:rRNA from 1 species